rnacentral:lncRNA from 1 species
ACCAUUUUACUUCUAACCUCUAACUUUUCUCUCAACCUUUUCAUCAUUUCCAUAACCUCCACCAAAGUUCAUCACCAUUAUCAUCUAAAAUUUAACAUUGAAAUUCUAGUUUUGGUAGAACUUAACCAUAAGCAUUCAACAAUCAUCAUUCAACAAUUCAAGAUUCAUCACAAUUCAAUAAUUCAAUAUUCAUCAUCAUUCUCAACAAUUCAAGUGUCCAUUAAUUUUCAACAAUUUCAUCAAGAUUCAAG